rnacentral:rRNA from 1 species
GACGAACGCUGGCGGCGUGCUUAACACAUGCAAGUCGAACGGAAAGGCCCUGCUUUUGUGGGGUGCUCGAGUGGCGAACGGGUGAGUAACACGUGAGUAACCUGCCCUUGACUUUGGGAUAACUUCAGGAAACUGGGGCUAAUACCGGAUAGGAGCUCCUGCUGCAUGGUGGGGGUUGGAAAGUUUCGGCGGUUGGGGAUGGACUCGCGGCUUAUCAGCUUGUUGGUGGGGUAGUGGCUUACCAAGGCUUUGACGGGUAGCCGGCCCGAGAGGGUGACCGGCCACAUGAGGAUUGGGAGGAGGCGCAGAAUGAAACGGAAGGAAGCAGUGGGGAAUAUUGCACAAUGAAAGGAAGAAUUGGGCAGGAAUGCCGCGUGCGGGAUAACGGCUAGCGGGUUGUAAACCGCUUUCGCCUGUGACGAAGCGUGAGUGACGGUAAUGGGUAGAGAAGCACCGGCUAACUACGUG